ensembl:snoRNA
UACAGUUCAUGGUAUCUGCAAUCAGCAGCUCCCUCCUACUGGUGUGUUCAAAGAACAGUGCAAUAGAAAUUCACUAUCUGGCAUCGUUGGUUUUCUUGGAUUUGGUGCCUAUGAAAUCUGGUGCUUCUAUUGAUAUGGUU